UGGGUGACCUGCCCUCAGCUCUGGGAUAAAGCCCGGGAAACUGGGUCUAAUACCGGAUACGACCUCCGCGGGCAUCUGCGGAGGUGGAAAGGUUUUCCGGCUGAGGAUGGGCCCGCGGCCUAUCAGCUAGUUGGUGGGGUGAUGGCCCACCAAGGCGACGACGGGUAGCCGGCCUGAGAGGGCGACCGGCCACACUGGGACUGAGACACGGCCCAGACUCCUACGGGAGGCA
rnacentral:rRNA from 1 species